UUGCUCAAAAAGGAAAAAAGGGUCCGACUCUUAUGUAGUGGUAGAGUACCUUGGUGGAGCAAUGGACGAUGAUACGAUAAUAUGGCAUUCAUGUUUCAGCUUCGAAGCUUAUGAUAUCUCUUGUAAGCACGUGUCUUCGAAGAACCAGCUGUCCACCUCUUUCUCUCUCUCCCACUGCGCUUUGCUGCUAAUACGCAGGAGGUAAAUAAUAUCAUAUUGCCAGUCGACUCGGACUUUACUCGCUCCAGUUUUGAGUCUCAACGAGUCUGAAGCUGGUCAUGAAGGUCUUCUCUGUCAUUGCCACUCUUUUAAUCUUUUAGCUUAUUAAUUGCUGUAAUAGAUUAUCUUUUGGUUUUCUAAGAGACUGUUGCUUUAAAACCCUUGAUUCCAAAUUUACCAUCUUACCCACCUGAAACUCUUGUUUAUUCGAUAAUAUUUUUCUUGGCUAUUGUCUCAAUUUAUGGUCAAGCUUAGGUUUUUUAUCUGGAAUUUUUUGUUAUUGUGAUGAUUUAAUAGGUUCUUUUGAUUUGGGUUUCGCAUUUUGGGUUAAAGGAUGUUACUAUAUUUUAUCUAUCUUUUUUGUGUGUGAUUAAGUUGGGUUUUUGUGAAUUGGGUUUUGUUUCUUUAUAGGGACGAUAUCAGGGGCUUGGUCUGGCUUAUUGAAUUGGUGAUAGAAUGAGUUGGUUUCUAUUUUACUCUUUUAUUUGAUUUGAGGGUUUUUUUUGUCAAAUUCUAAAAUUUAGAGGUUUUACUGUGGGAUAUUCAGUUUUGUGAUGGGUGAGGAAACAUCUAAUAUUGUGAACCUUGAUCUAAAUCUGGGUCCUGGUCCUGAGGUUGGAUCAGAAGCAGUACAAAGCGAACCACUAAAUUUGGAUAACUUUAUUUCUGAACCUAUUGAAGGAAUCAAUGAAGCUUUUAGGAUUAGGGCUCUACAGCGCUGGAGAUUCCAACAAUUUCAAAUUGCAAAUGACACACAUGGGCUUUCUGUAGAAUUGAGUCCAGUGAUAGGAAACGUUGGCAAUGUAAGCACCUUAUUGCCUGGUGAGGGUAGUGCUGCUGCUCAAGAAAGAACAAGUGAGCUGCACAAAGAGUGUGAGAAUAACUGUGGAUUUUUGGAAGACAAGGUGUCGAUGAAAAAGGGCGAUGUUGAGAAAGGAAAUGGCAAUGGUGGAAGUUUCUUUGAUUGUAACAUUUGUUUGGAAUUGGCUACAGAUCCAGUUGUCACUAGUUGUGGUCAUUUGUUUUGUUGGGCAUGCCUGUACCAACUGUUACAUGUGGAUUCGGAUUCGAAGGAAUGCCCAGUAUGCAAGGAAGAGAUAACGAUUAAGAAUGUGACCCCAAUUUAUGGCCGUGGCAGUAAUGCUCGCAAGACACCAGAAGAUUUGAAUAUUCAGAUCCCUCUUAGGCCCCAAGCAAGGCGGGUUGAAAGUUUCAGGCAAGUCAUUUACCGGAAUCCAUUUAUUUUCCCUUUGGAGGAGAUUAUUCGGCGAAUUGGAAGCAGAUUUAACUUGACCCGUGAUUUGAAUCUGAUUCAAGACUCAAAUGGCGCUCAUGAAACAGAAGAUAGGAAUAAUUCCUUUCCAAACACAAUUAUGACACUUGGGGGAGUGCAAGUUCACCAGAAUCCAAGUGUAUCACUUCAUGAUAUAAUGCAUUUAACACACAAUGGUGCAAGUAAUCCUGAGGUGGCACCAGCGCGUCGACUUCGAUCACUGCUACUUCGAAGAUCACAAUCACUUGCACAAAGACCUUCAACUCAAACGCCAGUUUCAUCCUCUUCAAAUCCCUCUGAGAGGUUGUUAGAUGCAUUUUUAAGAAGCCAUCCGAUAGGAAGGAAUCAGGAGCAGCCCCAGCCACUGGAUGAUAGAGAUUCUUUCUCAAGCAUUGCAGCAGUUAUAAACUCAGAGUCUCAAAUUGACAAUGCUGUGGAAAUUGACUCUAUGGGCUCCCUAUCAAGUUCUUCAUCUAGAAGAAGAAAUGACUCUUUGAUAGUCUAUGAUUUGGAUAGUGGCGAAUCUCCUGCACCUAGGAGGAGACGGUUGAACUAGGAAGAGUUCAUCAGGAAGUUGCUCGUGAUCUAACAUGCUAAUACAUAUAAGAUAAAGCUUGCUUAGUAAAGCUAUCAAAUCUUUGUCCUUACCUAGUAGGGGUAUGGUUCCAAAACAGAGGAGCAAGAGAAGCAAUAGGGCUGAAGCAGACAGGCAGGGAAGUCCUGCUUUAUAUGAGGAGAAGAUGUUUCGAGACAAUGGAGAAAGAAAACAGUUCGAACCAGGGAAUUGCAAAAACUGAGUCUCAAUUUGUUUCAACUUCAAAAACUCAUAAAUAUGAUCCUCUUCUACGGGUCUGCCCAGCACCAGCACCACUGUCAAUACCGACCUUAUUGACACCGUUUACUAGCAUUGGUGACCGCAACAUCAUUGGGUCUGUUCUACUUGGUCAAAACUCAAAAGCUCUUGAGCUGCUUCACGAUUCAAUACAAGUUGCACUAGUGAGGUAAAAAUUGAAAUAAAAAUGUGCUUUUUCUAUCAUAUCUAGGGGAAGGUGACAUUUGAAAAGAGUGGAAAGAGUGAGAAAUACCAAUUUUGUGCAAGCUUAAUUGUACGAUCCUUAUUGAGUUUGCUUGCUAUCCA